AUGGUGCAAGGUAUUUGUGGGAUUGGACUAUUUCAGUUUCGAUUAAUGAUCCUCCACCUAGCACUGAGGACUGAGGCGGCUUGGGAAUCAGGGACCUCGGGUGGAAUACCGUGCUAUGACUGGUUCGCUCAGCAACACUGUCAGCAUACCAUGCCCAUGGAUAAACAUCAUAGAGACACUGCUACCUGGAGUUGCCUGGCAUCAGCCAUCAAGACAGUCAUAGAAUCAACGAGAUGUACCUUGGGAAAUGGAUCCAGAAUCUCCUUCUGGCACGACUGGUGGUUGGACUGUGGAAGGCUGAAAUUCUCUUUCCCAAUUCUCUUCACCUUUGCACAAUCGCCUUAUUGCACUGUUGCCUCGCAGUUCACUGAUGGACAAUGGAACCUCAAGCUACAUCCGAAUUUAACUAUGACAGCCACAAGAGAAAUGGAGGCCUUACUGACGAUUCUAGUUGGAGUGCAUCCAUCUCUUUCUCACACUGAAACAGAUCAGAGAAACCCUUGUAUGAAAUCUGGAAAGGUCACCACUGCAUUCUUCUAUGAGCUGCUCACGUUCAGGGGGGUCCUUUGCCCAACUGCUCCAAAGAUAUGGGACACUUUGAUACCCAACAGACAUCGGGUCUUCCUUUGGCUGGCUCUACGAGGUAGACUGAACACAAGAGAUAAUAUUCUCAAAAAAGGCUGGACGUCAAUCACAACACACAAUGACUGCGACCUGUGCCCUGCAACCGAAAACAGUAGCCAUAUCAUCCUCAGAUGCAGGCUUGCUGAUGCUGUUUGGGAGCGGGCAGGCGUGCAAGACAAGGCAAGAAGCUCCAAUGAUCUCCAGGUUUUUCUACUCGCCACGGAACCCCCUGCAUAUGGCAACCUCUGGCAUAUUGUUUUUGCAGCCUGCGUCGUGUCUCUCUGGUCUGCCAGGAACGAGCAGGUCUUCCAGCACACACGAUGGUCCGCUGGCAAGGUGUUGAGCACGAUUGCAGACCUGCUGCGCCUGUGGAGUAAUCGUGCGAAUAACAAUGAGGAUAGGAUUAAGUUGUGUAAUUUUGCUGCUCUUUUCCAUACCCCUUUUUUUUACCUCUUUUUAGGCUUGGUGACGGCUAGCUGCACUGUCGCAGCGCUUAUGCCACCUUCAUGUAAUCUGGUUCUAACUAGCCGGGCCUCGCCCGUUUUGAAUGCAUAA
rnacentral:rRNA from 1 species